UACGGAGGGUGCGAGCGUUGUCCGGAAUCAUUGGGCGUAAAGGGCGCGUAGGUGGCCCGGUCAGUUCGUGGUGAAAGCGCGGGGCUCAACUCCGCGUCGGCCAUGAAUACUGCUGGGCUUGAGCACUGUAGAGGCAGGCGGAAUUCCGGGUGUAGCGGUGGAAUGCGUAGAGAUCCGGAAGAACACCGGUGGCGAAGGCGGCCUGCUGGGCAAUAGCUGACACUGAGGCGCGACAGCGUGGGGAGCAAACAGG
rnacentral:rRNA from 1 species